CAUAACUGCUGCUGCCUGAGGGGAGCAACUGUGCCCUGCACCAUGAUGUUUGUCUUCUUCAGACUAGUGGUCAGUCCGAACUCCUUGCAGGCGUGAGAGAGGCGAUUAACAAGCUGCUGCAGACCAUCUUCAGAGUGUGAUGUCAAGGC